CACACACACACAUUGACACACAUACAUACGCACACACACACACACAGACACAACACUCACAUGAAGGGAUAACAAUUGCGCCAAAUACAAACAAUUUAUAAGUGCGAAACGUAGUGAGAGAAAAUAACACCAAAGCACACUAA